rnacentral:rRNA from 1 species
UACGUAGGGUGCGAGCGUUAAUCGGAAUUACUGGGCGUAAAGCGUGCGCAGGCGGUGAUGUAAGACCGAUGUGAAAUCCCCGGGCUUAACCUGGGAACUGCAUUUAUGACUGCAUCGCUGGAGUGCGGCAGAGGGGGAUGGAAUUCCGCGUGUAGCAGUGAAAUGCGUAGAUAUGCGGAGGAACACCGAUGGCGAAGGCAAUCCCCUGGGCCUGCACUGACGCUCAUGCACGAAAGCGUGGGGAGCAAACAGG